rnacentral:rRNA from 1 species
GAUGAACGCUGGCGGCGUGCCUAAUACAUGCAAGUCGAGCGAACAGACGAGGAGCUUGCUCCUCUGACGUUAGCGGCGGACGGGUGAGUAACCCGUGGAUAACCUCCCUAUAAGACUGGGAUAACUUCGGGAAACCGGAGCUAAUACCGGAUAAUCUAUUGAACCGCAUGGUUCAAUAGUGAAAGACGGUUUUGCUGUCACUUAUAGAUGUAUCCGCGCCGCAUUAGCUAGUUGGUAAGGUAACGGCUUACCAAGGCGACGAUGCGUAGCCGACCUGAGAGGGUGAUCGGCCACACUGGAACUGAGACACGGUCCAGACUCCUACGGGAGGCAGCAGUAGGGAAUCUUCCGCAAUGGGCGAAAGCCUGACGGAGCAACGCCGCGUGAGUGAUGAAGGUCUUCGGAUCGUAAAACUCUGUUAUUAGGGAAGAACAAAUGUGUAAGUAACUAUGCACGUCUUGACGGUACCUAAUCAGAAAGCCACGGCUAACUACGUG